GGCGACCGGCGCACGGGUGAGUAACACGUAUCCAACCUACCCUUCACUCGGGGAUAGCCUUUCGAAAGAAAGAUUAAUACCCGAUAGUCUAGGAAUAAAGCAUUUUAUUUUUAGUAAAGAAUUUCGGUGUUUGAUGGGGAUGCGUUCCAUUAGAUUGUUGGUGAGGUAACGGCUCACCGAGUCUUCGAUGGAUAGGGGUUCUGAGAGGAAGGUCCCCCACAUUGGAACUGAGACACGGUCCAAACUCCUACGGGAGGCAGCAGUGAGGAAUAUUGGUCAAUGGACGAGAGUCUGAACCAGCCAAGUAGCGUGAAGGACGAAGGCCCUACGGGUCGUAAACUUCUUUUAUAGGGGAAUAAAGUGGAGAACGUGUUCUCCUUUGUAUGUACCCUACGAAUAAGGAUCGGCUAACUCCGUGCCAGCAGCCGCGGUAAUACGGAGGAUCCAAGCGUUAUCCGGAUUUAUUGGGUUUAAAGGGAGCGUAGGUGGACGUAUAAGUCAGUUGUGAAAGUUUGCGGCUCAACCGUAAAAUUGCAGUUGAUACUGUAUGUCUUGAGUGUACAAGAGGUGGGCGGAAUUCGUGGUGUAGCGGUGAAAUGCUUAGAUAUCACGAAGAACUCCGAUUG
rnacentral:rRNA from 1 species